UAGCAGAUAAAAUUUAUCCGUUAACAAAUAAAAUAGUUGUAGGUUACAGCAGUAACCUACAGUGAUCUCUGUCUCGUUACUGGCAUCGUCAGAUUCAUCCUAAGGUUAAAAAUUGAUCCUUUGUUCGUUUAAGCGGGGUCGAUGCAUACUAAUUAUCUUGAAAUAAUGAGUUAUUGACGAUCGCAA
rnacentral:misc_RNA from 1 species